rnacentral:rRNA from 1 species
ACGUAGGGGGCAAGCGUUAUCCGGAUUUACUGGGUGUAAAGGGAGCGUAGACGGUGUGGCAAGUCUGAUGUGAAAGGCAUGGGCUCAACCUGUGGACUGCAUUGGAAACUGUCAUACUUGAGUGCCGGAGGGGUAAGCGGAAUUCCUAGUGUAGCGGUGAAAUGCGUAGAUAUUAGGAGGAACACCAGUGGCGAAGGCGGCUUGCUGGACGGUAACUGACGUUGAGGCUCGAAAGCGUGGGGAGCAAACAG